AAAAUAUUAUUACACACUUUUAGGAGAAACAACUGAACCUUUUUUUUCAAUAACACAAUUUAA
rnacentral:misc_RNA from 1 species